CCUACGGGGCGCAGCAGUAGGGAAUCUUCCACAAUGGGCGCAAGCCUGAUGGAGCAACACCGCGUGAGUGAAGAAGGGUUUCGGCUCGUAAAGCUCUGUUGUUGGAGAAGAACGUGCGUGAGAGUAACUGUUCACGCAGUGACGGGAUCCAACCAGAAAAGCACGGCUAACUACGUGCCAGCAGCCGCGGUAAUAAGUAGGGGGCCAGCGUUAUCCGGAUUUAUUUGGCGUAAAGCGAGGGCAGGGGGGUGGUUAUGUCU
rnacentral:rRNA from 1 species